rnacentral:lncRNA from 1 species
UUGAAAAUGUAUACUGGAAACUUUGACCAAUAUGUUCAAACCCGUUCAGAUCAUGAGGAGAACCAGAUGAAGCAGUACAAGUGGGAGCAAGAUCAGAUUGCUAAUAUGAAGGAGUAUAUUGCUAGAUUUGGACAUGGGUCAGCCAAAUUAGCUCGCCAGGCACAGAGCAAGGAGAAAACUUUGGCAAAGAUGGAACGUGGUGGGCUCACACAAAAAGUGUCUAGGGAUCAGGUUCUGGUGUUUAGAUUUGUUGAUGUAGGAAAACUCCCGCCACCAGUUUUACAGUUUGUUGAAGUUUCAUUUGGCUACACCCCAGAUAACCUCAUCUACAAGAACAUUGACUUUGGGGUGGACCUUGACUCAAGGAUAGCUUUGGUUGGGCCCAAUGGUGCUGGGAAGAGUACACUCCUAAAGCUGAUGACAGGUGAUUUGGUUCCGAAUGAGGGCAUGGUACGUCGACACAAUCACUUGCGCAUAGCACAAUAUCACCAGCACUUGACUGAGAAACUUGACUUGGAGCUGUCGGCUCUUGUUUUUAUGAUAAGAGAGUUCCCAGGUAAUGAGGAAGAGAAGAUGAGGUCAGCAAUCGGGAGGUUUGGACUAACAGGUAAAGCUCAGGUGAUGCCAAUGAAAAACUUGUCAGAUGGACAAAAGAGUCGUGUGAUUUUUGCAUGGUUGGCAUGGAGACAGCCCCAGAUGUUGCUGCUGGAUGAGCCAACUAAUCAUUUGGAUAUCGAGACUAUAGACUCGCUUGCUGAGGCUUUGAACGAGUGGGACGGUGGCUUGGUUCUUGUUAGCCAUGAUUUCAGGCUCAUAAACCAGGUGGCUCGUGAAAUUUGGGUGUGUGAAGAUCAAGCUGUGACCCCAUGGGCGGGUGAUAUCAUGGGAUUUAAGGCGCACUUGAAGAAGAAAGCUGG